GAUGAACGCUGGCGGCGUGCCUAAUACAUGCAAGUCGAGCGAACGGACGAGAAGCUUGCUUCUCUGAUGUUAGCGGCGGACGGGUGAGUAACACGUGGAUAACCUACCUAUAAGACUGGGAUAACUUCGGGAAACCGGAGCUAAUACCGGAUAUUAUUUUGAACCGCAUGGUUCAAAAGUGAAAGACGGUCUUGCUGUCACUUAUAGAUGGAUCCGCGCUGCAUUAGCUAGUUGGUAAGGUAACGGCUUACCAAGGCAACGAUGCAUAGCCGACCUGAGAGGGUGAUCGGCCACACUGGAACUGAGACACGGUCCAGACUCCUACGGGAGGCAGCAGUAGGGAAUCUUCCGCAAUGGGCGAAAGCCUGACGGAGCAACGCCGCGUGAGUGAUGAAGGUCUUCGGAUCGUAAAACUCUGUUACUAGGGAAGAACAUAUGUGUAAGUAACUGUGCACAUCUUGACGGUACCUAAUCAGAAAGCCACGGCUAACUACGUG
rnacentral:rRNA from 1 species